GAUGAACGCUGGCGGCGUGCCUAAUACAUGCAAGUCGAGCGAAGCGGGGACGGGUGAGUAACACGUGGAUAACCUCCUAUAAGACUGGAAUAACUUUGGGAAACCGGCGCUAAACCGGAUACUUAUCGAUUGGUCCGCGCUGCAAUAGCUAGUUGGUAAGGUAACGGCUUACCAAGGCAACGAUGCCUAGCCGACCUGAGAGGAUGAUCAGCCACACUGGAAAUGAGACACGGUCCAGACUCCUACGGGAGGCAGCAGUAGGGAAUCUUCCGCAAUGGGCGCAAGCCGGACGGAGCAACGCCGCGUGAGUGAUGAAGGUCUUAGGAUCGUAAAACUCUGUUAUUAGGGAAGCGGUACCGAAACAGGAAGCAACGGCUAACUACGUGCCAGCAGCCGCGGUAAUUC
rnacentral:rRNA from 1 species